rnacentral:rRNA from 1 species
AGGAUGAACGCUGGCGGCGUGCCUAAUACAUGCAAGUCGAGCGGUAAGGCCACUUCGGUGGUACACGAGCGGCGGACGGCUGAGUAACACGUAGGAACGUACCCCAAAGUGAGGCAUAAGCACCAGAAAUGGUGUCUAAUACCGCAUGUGGCCUAACAGGCUAAAGCUCCGGCGCUUUGGGAACGGCCUGCGCAUGAUUAGCUUGUUGGUGAGGUAAAAAGCUCACCAAGGCAGUGAUCAUUAGCUGGUCUGAGAGGAUGACCAGCCAGACUGGGACUGAGAACGGCCCAGACUCCUACGGGAGGCAGCAGUAGGGAAUUUUCCACAAUGGGCGAAAGCCUGAUGGAGCAACGCCGCGUGCAGGAUGAAGGCUCUAGGGUCGUAAACUGCUUUUAUCUGUGACGAAUAUGACGGUAGCAGAUGAAUAAGGAUCGGCUAACUCCGUGCCAGCAGCCGC